UUUAGUCUCUGUGGUCCUGCAGUUUGAGCUGCACAUACUCGUGGAGCGAUGGCCUGGUCAUGUGACCACCCACAAGUUUGUUUUAAUGUCAGUAUUUUAGGUGAGGCUACCAGGUUGUGCAGGUAUCAAGUGUGAACUUUAGGCUUCCCUUGUUCAGCCCCAGGACACAUGACAACAAACAUCACAAAUAUGGGGUUGAAAAGCAUCACUUUCCCUCUCAUAGUAUCCUGGAAGCCAAGCACAGCAGCUUUGUGGGUGUCAAGGAGGAACCCCAUUCCCUUAAGUGUGUUUCCUGUUGGCUGCUCAUGCUCCUUCCCCCUUUCCCAGGGUUCCCUCCAGCAGCAGUGGGUGAGUUUCUCUCAUGUUCUGUGCCCCGCUACACUUUUAUCUUCAGUGUCUCAGGACUGUAGCUAGAAAGGCUCUCUGCCUUUAAGGGCUCAUGUGACCAUGUUAGGCUCAUCCAUGUAAUCGAGGCUCUCCUCCCUAUUUUAAAUUCUGUCAUCUCAACUCCAUUCACAAAACUCCUUUUGCCAUGAGACAUCACAUAUUCACAGGUCUUGGGGACCGUGGUGGGGACAUCAGUGGGGAGGUAUUCUGCCUACAGAGGGUUAGGGGAAGAGUUUACGGAUCCUGGUGACAGAUGAUAACAUAAUGAAUCUGUUAUUUCUAAACGCAUCAAGACCUGUAAAAUCUCCCCGUUCUCCUGAGAGUCUUCCUCUAAAUAGAUCCCAACUAUGUGAGGAGAGGCGUGGUAGGAAUGUGUUUGAGGGGAGAGAGUGUAGGGUGGGGCCGUAACUGAUUUCCGCUGUCUUCUCUUUUGGAUCGGACUUACUCGGUGGCAAGUUUCUUUUGCUUAAAGCACUGUUUGACAAAUGUCACCUUCUCCAUGGAGACCACCCGUUUCUCAUCAUCACCAGCUGCCCCUCCUCCAACCGCCCACUCCCACUGCUAUUUGGAGUUGAAAGCUGUUCACUUUCAUAAAAUCCUCACCCUUGAGGUGUGUGUGGGUGCUGCUUAAUUCUCUCAUUGGAUACUGAUUUUAUUUAGAAAUCACUUAAAGGAGUCGUUAAAAAUGAAAAUUCCUGGGCAGUUUCUGGGAAACUGGAAAUGUUGCUUAGAUAUCUGGGUGUCGUGGCAGCAGAUACCUCUCUCUACUCUCAACAUUUGGGAGGUGGAGGCAGAAGGAUCAAGCGUUAUCCUUAGUGGGGUCAAGGCCAGCCUGAGUAGCUGAGUGAGAUUUUGUCUCAAAAAGCAAACAAAACAGCAACCAAUGAAAACAACAGAAAGAAAGAGAAGAAAGAAACAUUGCCUAGAAGAGGGUCUAGCUCCUUAUUCCCAACAAGCUAUGGGGCCCAAAUGCAGAUCUUAGCAUCUUCAGUGUCCAGAGGCCUCUGAUGAGAUACUGGAUUUGAAACGUCGCCACCCCAUGGUAGGAGAAGGAACUGCACCUCUGGUGUCACUGGACUGAGUUCCUGAGAGCUUAGCUCCUGUGCUCACAUUUCUUGUGUACAGUGCAUGCUAUUCAGGGCACUGGGGCUCCCAAAUAUGUAUCCUUCAAAAUUUGGUUAAAAGAAGGAAAAGUUAGGAAGACUCUCAGAGGUCUAGUAGUAGAAGUAUCGUUCAUGGAUGAGCAAUGCCCCUGGGCAAGCAAGCAGUCAUUAACACAGGAAGAGGGAACAGGAAAGAGACAUACAUUGGGUCCCAUAGUUUGAGUAGCUGAUCGAGGCACCCAGGCUGACACCUCUGCAGAGCCUCCAUUGUCUGGGGCUGAUUGGCAGGUGAGCCACCCUUCUGGUUGCCACUUGAACCCUGGGGCCUCAUCACCUCCCGACUGUGAAGCCCUAGUCCCCAUCUGCUUCCUUGGGAGUGUGGGUCAUAUUCACUCUUCCUUUUCCCUCAGUAACUGCCGGCUUCAUCCAGCCCCACCCCUGAACAAAAGCCCUGAUCCCCAGAGGCCCAGCCUCAGUGGGACCAGUUGAAUCUUUUAUCUUCAGUUUUGGAAAGUCAGGUCCUGAGUCCUAUUGUAUGUGACAUCCUUUCCAGCUACUUAAAAUGUCUGGAUUAGAUCUCCUGUUUUAUCAGUCUGCUGCAAACAGUGAAGCCUGGCCAGAGGCAAACUCUUUGCCACAGGCACUUCCUGCCCAGAGAAAUUGUUCUGGAAAUUUCCUGAAUGAAGCACCCAGUCUCCAAAAGAGGACCUGGUUUUUAAGAGUCUUCUAGGAGAUGCAAAUUCAGGCGGCAAUGUCUCCAAGAACAGAAUGGACCCCUUGACUUUUCCCUGCUUGGAAGUCAGAUGAAGUCUCCCUUAUGACUGCAGAUCUUUCUCCUAGGCCCACUCUUAGUUCCUACAGAACUUUCUUUAGGCCCAGGCAUGUGGCCGGCCAUCUGGUGACACCAUGGGGCUGUGGAUCUUCAAGGUCACCUAGACACUACAUCUUACAAAAUUAGCAUCAUCUGGGAAUGGUGCUCUUUGCUUCGCCCCUCAACCAUCAAGAGGAAGGCAUUCCACACAGGCCUCUGCUGUGACAGGAUGCUCUGGGACCCCUCAGAGCCUGCUGAUGCACAGUCAUUUUCUUUUAAGAUUUAUUUUAUGAGUGUGAUUUAAAAAAAAAAAAAUUGUGUCUGCUUGCACGUAUGUUCCUCCUUGGUACUCUCGGAGACCAGAAGAGGAAGUCAGAUCCCUUGGAACUGGUGGCUUUGAGCUGCCAUAUGGGUGCUGGGAUUAAACCUGGAUCGUCUGAAAGAACGGCCAGUUCUCCUAACCACUAAGCCAUCUCUCCAGCCCUGUAUGCAUGUAUAUAUUUGUGUGCAUGUGUAAGUGGACAUGUGUGUACAGUGCCGGCAGGGGCCAGAAGAGGGCACCAGAUCCCUCAGAGCUGGGCUUAGGGUUGGUUGUGAGCCACCAUUGUAAGCACCUGGAAACCAGCUGGGGUCCUCUCUAAGAGCAAGUGCUCUUAACCAGGGAGCCAUCUCUCCAACCUCUCCAUUUGCUUUCAGCAGCAGUUGUGUGUGUGUGUGUGUGUGUGUGUGUGUGUGUGUGUGUGUGUGUGUGUUUUGCAGUCUUUACAUAAUUUCUGAUUUAUUUUUUCCCCCUUUUUGGUGGAGAAUCCAUAAAGACAUUGGCUUUAGCGGUCCCCUAGCUCUCAGCGAUCUCUCAUCCAGACAGGAUGCAGUCUCCUCUUUGAACCUGGCUUUGCCAAGCAGAGUUACCCUCCUUCAGGAAUGGCAUGCAUGCUUGGAAUGUGAUUUUAUCUUAUCGGCCUCCUCCCCAGCUGCCAAGGUCCUAGCCAGGCUCCAUGGAGGGUUCCAGAAACUUUUUCUCUUUAAAGCCACUUGCCAGGAGCCUGCCCACUGCUCUUCUAGUUUCAACCUGUUGCUUCUGGGUCCCUCCUCUCCCAAUGACCUCUGGCCUCCUGCAAUGCUGAAUGCCUUGCGGGCGGGAGUGGGGGCUAUGGGGGAGAGGAUAAAAAUCAAAGUGAUUCUAGAAACUUCAUUGUGUACUUUGAUGUUUUGAAAAUUCCGUGGUGGAAGAAUAUGGAGUUCAGCUUUUAAUUAAUGAAAGCCCACCCCGGGGGACCAAACUAUGGGAUUAAGUCAAUAAUAAGUUCCAAAUCCAGGAAGCAGAUGUUCUGAGGUGCGUUUAUUUAUUCAGCAUGGACACGUGUGGUGCCGUGAUCUGGCUGCCUAAGUGCUCUUACAAGACCGGAAAUCCUUCCCAAGGAAUUUUAUACACGAGAAGCCCCUUUCCUGCCUCCUAGUUUCCAAGACUAUGCUUUGAAACUUAACACCUGGCUGGCUCGGUUCCCUCUGCAACUCAAGGUCUCCAUCAUCUGACCUUGAGCCCAUGACCUACUUGUUAGGGGAGCCUCCCUGACAGUAGGGAAGGUGAUAAAUUACCCCACAUAUAUUUGCCUUACAGACUAUUGUGUUGUCUUUAAGAAGAACGGUGCUUUAUUCUAAGAAAAUGACCGAGCACUGCGGUACCGUUCCACCGUGAACUAGCCCCAGUUGCUGGGGUGACAGGGCUGCAUCAUCAGGCUGGCUGGCAGCCAAUUCCAUACACCAGAUAGAUGGUGGAACAGAAGGAGUCUGUCUGGAAGGAGUCUCAAGAAAAAGGAAUUCAAAAUGGAGGCACUUUGGUUCGGGCAAUUCAACAGGUGUCUGGAGGCCAUUGGGCACACCCACCCAGAAGCAAGCUCACCCUGGAAGUACUGCUGACAUCCCCUAGCCCCCUCCCACAGCACUCCCACCCACCAAGUGAGCCAGAGGCUAAGCUAUCCCCAAGCUCUUCUUAACAGCUUAACUUUAAAUUCCUGACUAAUGGAUGAUGUCAUUGCCAGCCCCUUGAGGCUCAAAGCUAAACACAGAGCAUGUUUUUCUAGGCAGCUGGAGCCUGUGUUUUCCUAGACUGCAACCCUAAUUAGCCCCAAACAAAUGCAAUGCUCUUUGUGUUCCAGUGGGCUGAAUUUUCCCUUUUCUGAAUCUGCUUUGGGUGUCAAGUCUAACAAGACAACUUGGACCAGCCCUCUCCUCUCCUUCCUUCAUCUGAAAGAUUUCUGUUUUAGAUUCAAGUCUGUGAUGCAGUGUGAGGCAUGGCUCUGAGUCCAUUUGAUUUGACUUCUUUGUUUAUUUUUUUAUUUUUUUUUUUUUUUUGUCCAUAGCUGCUCAAGGUUGCUUUGUGCUGACUUUUGAUAGUCAAUCCCGCCUGCUCUGUGAUUCAUUUCAUUUUUGUAUUUUGCUUCCCUGGGAGCCUCAGGCUAGCCUGAGGGUUUGACUGAACAGAGAGAAAGCAUUUUUUGGAUCAUGUAACUCAGUACAGCAUUCCCACUGAACUUCCUGCCUAGCUUCACUCGCAGGGUUGAGAGAAUAAAUUGAAGGUAUGUUUGAGAAAGCAGUUUACAGUUGCAAGUCCACAGAGCAGAUGUGCAAGCUAUGUUUGCAUGUGUCGCGUGUUGGACAGUUUGGGACAAGUCCGACAUCCAGAGAGUAUAGCCUUUGCAACUGUAGCAUAUUUUCUGUUGAGGUGUUUUCUGGCACAGGCUGCUCCCCCCACAAAAAUACUGAUCUGGCUAGUCAUGUAUCCCUUAUCAGCCAAUAUUUUAUUUAUGUUCAAAGGGGCAAGUAACAAAGUAAAAAUAAGGAUAUUAAAUUUUA